rnacentral:rRNA from 1 species
GUAGGGAAUAUUGGGCAAUGGGCGAGAGCCUGACCCAGCCAUGCCGCGUGCAGGAAGAAGGCUUUCUGAGUCGUAAACUGCUUUUGACAGGGAAGAAUAAGGCUUACGUGUAAGCUGAUGACGGUACCUGCAGAAUAAGCACCGGCUAACUCCGUGCCAGCAGCCGCGGUAAUACGGAGGGUGCGAGCGUUGUCCGGAUUUAUUGGGUUUAAAGGGUGCGUAGGCGGCCCGUUAAGUCCGGGGUGAAAGCCCGCUGCUCAACAGCGGAACUGCCCUGGAUACUGACGGGCUUGAGUACAGACGAGGUUGGCGGAAUGGACUGAGUAGCGGUGAAAUGCAUAGAUACAGUCCAGAACCCCGAUUGCGAAGGCAGCUGACUAGGCUGUUACUGACGCUGAGGCACGAAAGCGUGGGGAGCGAACAGG